rnacentral:miRNA from 1 species
AAAUGGGGAUUGCUUCUCGGCCUUUUGGCUAAGAUCAAGUGCAGAGGAAAUGGGUUCAAAGUUGAGCUAAUAACCAAUGGCUGGUGAUUUAAUCAACCAUGCCUAUGUA